CGCGGGAAAUUUGAAAAUUCGAACAGAAACACAAACAACUACUCUAGCAGUGAGCGAAACAUUUACCCCGGAUAAAUUCGAGUCUUAUGGAAGAUUCCCUUACAAAAAUGAGUAACAAAGUAGAGUUGAGAACUGUGAAGGAAACCAACUAAUUCCAAAACGAGAUUUGGCGUGUCCACAUCCGUGUCCAUCGUGGUCAUACAAAGUAAAAAAGAAAUGGGUCAAAUAGGUAUUACCUGAACUAAGUAAUAUCAAGGAUCAAGACGAAAAUAGGUGUGCUUUCUGUCGCCAUCGCGUUAUGACAAUGACUUGGUGCUGCGCCAAAUUGAAACCUGCGAUGAACAAUUAAUGCUCUCAGUCGGGGAAGGCAGCUAGAAUAAGGUAUAUUUAUCUAAAAUACAGGUGGCUGUAAGUAAAAAAAAGGAAGCUGAUGAUGGUGGCCUAAUGUAAAUAUUACCUACUACAGCCUUUCAGUCCCGAUUUGUCGGUCGACCAGAGCUAAACUGUAUAGGCAACAAUUACAAACUUUGCAUUAAAUAACCAGUACCGUUAAACCAAGGUGACAACGCUCGACCUCACCCAGCAAGGAUUAGGGCCUGACUUGAAGGUUUAUAGUGAUACUGCAACGAAGUAAGCCUUGUACUACGCACUCUGUAUAUUUCUAAGGACAUCGAUGUGCAUUUUGCGUGAAACGUUGGAGACGCAUGCCUAGAUCUUGAGUGAGGGUCGUAUACAGGACAGGGCCUGGACUGAAUCUCACCUGAGAGACUGAUGAUUCAGAGAGAUACAGAAUCACCGAUUUUGCCUACGAAGAUGCGAUAUGUGGAUUACAAUCGGCGCCGAGGAACCACUUUAGGACUGUUUUCUAGAAAUGCUCUUUUCUACACUACACGCAGAGGCACGACCCGGUUGCGUGUGAAGGUGGUCGUAGCAGCCGUUUCCAGUUCAUGACCUCCGAACUGGGUAGUCGAGCUUCACGAGACCUGGGCUGCGCUCGCAAGACUACUAUAUCAGUUCACGCAACAUAAUCUGCUGGCGAAGGCUGUAUAUCGACGCUCAUAAGCAAAUCUUCGGUAUUAGUAAA